CUUGACGACCAUAGAGCAUUGGAACCACCUGAUCCCAUCCCGAACUCAGCAGUGAAACGAUGCAUCGCCGAUGGUAGUGUGGGGUUUCCCCAUGUGAGAGUAGGUCAUCGUCAAGAUUAAAUUCCGAAACCCCUAUCUGCGUAUGCAGGUAGGGGUUU
rnacentral:rRNA from 1 species